rnacentral:lncRNA from 1 species
AUUUGUCUCUGCAUGAAUGAAGAGUGGUUCAGAUAUUUUCCCACAGCUGGAAUAGUGACUUAAGAAAGAUAAUUAAAAUAGUGAAAUAUCAAGUUCUUGGCAUUUUACUAUCUAGUUGAGUAUACACUCCAGUUGGAUUCUUUGGACUCUCUAAGCAUUGGGAAAAGUGAUAUUCCCUAGAAAACAGCACUCUGAGGAAAAAACAGCUAUGAUGGGAAAAAAUCAUACCCAUUGUAGGAAAGGACAAACAAGACUUUACUUUUACAUUAUGCCCAGAAGACAUCAAGUGGAAUUAGCCUUCUCUUGGGAUGGCGUCAGGGAACAAUAGGAAGAAUUUCUUGCUCUAUCCAGCACUUCAGUACUGAGUUGAACUUAGCUUUAGCAAAUGGUUUUCAUGUUCUUCUUUUUCACAUGUUGUAAUAUAUAAUAUAUAAUAUUCUAAUCUGUUUUUGAGUUAUAGAUUGCUUUGAAAGUGGCCUUUCUGAAUGACUCUUCACAAAGUCAGAACGUCCUGUAGAAAAAUCAUAAUUACAUCCUACAGAAGGCAUGAUAUGUUUUAGCAAAAAAAGGACCGAAUGACAGAUGGAAGGAAAACAGGCUAGACGCAAACAAGACAAUUCUGUAAAUCUCUCUGAGCCAUGUCUUUCAAAGUAGUUAAAAAAGGUUCAUAUGUCCAGUUUUCAAAGAUGACCCUGGCCCUCUUUCUCACAAAGAAAUGCCAUCAAGUUGCACCAGAGGAGAACAGGAUGAAAGAAGAAUAGUAUGGUUGGAACAUGAAGCCCAGAGGAUUUGUGGGUUCUCCAUUCUUGGAGGUGUUUAAAAGCUGUCUGGACACUGUCCUGGACAUCCUGCUCUAGAUGACGCUGCUUGUUAAGGGGGCCAGAACAGAGGACCUCCAGAGGUUUGUUCCAACCCUUUUUAUACUGUGAUUCUUAGAUUCUCUACGCAAAAAAUUUGGAAAGAGACAAGAAUAGGAAACACUGAUGACAGGAUUUUUGAACACUGCUGAUGUGUGGGUGAUGUAAAUAUACAUUUGUGUGCCUUUUGUUUGGAUAUCCAAUUUCAAGACUGUGCGACGUGUGAGUAACCUACUUCUGUCAGGUGUGGUAGGUGUG